rnacentral:rRNA from 1 species
CCCUUAGAUGUUCUGGGCUGCACGCGCGCUACACUGAAGCGUUCAACGAGUAUUUCACCUUGCCCGGGAGGGUUGGGUAAUCUUUUUAAAACGCUUCGUGAUGGGGAUAGAUUAUUGCAAUUAUUAAUCUUCAACGAGGAAUGCCUAGUAAACGCAAGUCAUCAGCUUGCAUUGAUUACGUCCCUGCCCUUUGUACACACCGCCCGUCGCUCCUACCGAUUGAAUGAUCCGAUGAAUACCAUGGAUUGAGAGUACGAAUGGGUUCGCUCAUUUCUGCUGCUCGAGAAGUGGAGUAAAUCUUAUCAUUUAGAGGAAGGAGAAGUCGUAACA